rnacentral:rRNA from 1 species
UACAGAGGGUGCAAGCGUUGUUCGGAAUUAUUGGGCGUAAAGCGCGCGUAGGCGGUUAUCUAAGUCGGAUGUGAAAGCCCUCGGCUUAACUGAGGAAGUGCACCCGAAACUGGAUAGCUAGAGUACGAAAGAGGGUCGCGGAAUUCCCGGUGUAGAGGUGAAAUUCGUAGAUAUCGGGAGGAACACCGGUGGCGAAGGCGGCGACCUGGGUCGAGACUGACGCUGAGGCGCGAAAGCGUGGGGAGCAAACAGG